rnacentral:rRNA from 1 species
UAUGACGGGUAGGUGGACUGAGAGGUUGGUCACCCACACUGGGACUGAGAACUGCCCAGACUCCUACGGGAGGCUGCAGUCGAGAAUCUUCCGCAAUGGGCGAAAGCCUGACGGAGCAAUGCCGCGUGCAGGAUGAAGGCCUUCGGGUCGUAAACUGCUGUCACAGGGGAUGAACGCAAUGACAGUACCCUGGGAGGAAGCCACGGCUAACUACGUGCCAGCAGCCGCGGUAAUACGUAGGUGGCGAGCGUUGUUCGGAUUUAUUGGGCGUAAAGGGUUCGUAGGAGGUUUUGUAAGUUCGAUGUGAAAUCCCGUGGCUCAACUGCGGAACUGCAUUGAAAACUGCUGAACUUGAGUGUCAUAGAGGAGAGCGGAAUUCCUGGUGUAGCGGUGGAAUGCGUAGAUAUCAGGAAGAACAUCGAUAGCGAAAGGCAGCUCUCUGGGUGACUACUGACUCUGAGGAACGAAAGCGUGGGGAGCAAACAGGAUUAGAUACCCUG